rnacentral:rRNA from 1 species
UACGUAGGGUGCAAGCGUUAAUCGGAAUUACCGGGCGUAAAGCGUGCGCAGGCGGUUGUGCAAGACUGAUGUGAAAUCCCCGGGCUCAACCUGGGAAUUGCAUUUGUGACUGCACGGCUAGAGUGUGUCAGAGGGGGGUAGAAUUCCACGUGUAGCAGUGAAAUGCGUAGAGAUGUGGAGGAAUACCGAUGGCGAAGGCAGCCCCCUGGGAUAACACUGACGCUCAUGCACGAAAGCGUGGGGAGCAAACAGG